CAAAUUCUGACCCCAAGUCCAGAAGCCUUCCUCUCUGCCCUGACAGCUGCAGCAGUAUCUGUGGCUUCUGUUCGCUGCAUGACUGCUGAGCCUUUCUGUGUCCUGUGACUGGUUGCAUCAUCUCUCACCGUCCAGACAUGUCACCAGGAGGAAUUUACAGGCCAUGAACUGUACACUCAGGACAUUGCUCAUCUGUCCAGGGUAUCCACCCAUGAGCUCACCCUGAAGAGCCAUCAGCAGGUGUGUUGCAGCACGUACUUCUGAUGUCCCAGACACGCACAGAGUUGUCCAUGGAAGCAGAGGCAACCAGACAACUGUCUGGGCUAAAGGCUGGAAGACCGGUCACAGCCCAGGACUUGCUAAAAACUGACUCAGUGAUUGCAAAAGAGCCCUCCCUUACCCCACACUCACCCAACACAGCCCUGCUGCACAAGACUCCAGUUGAGAGCUGUAUGCUCGGGCUUGAGGCCUCCUACCUCUAUGCAGGUACCUUGCUUUUGCAUCUCCCUCUUCCCAUUAGGGUUAUUACUGGAACAGUUGCAGAACUCCUCUGUAGCAGCUGUAGACAGUGUCUCCUGUGGCUACCCCUCGAGGGAAGUGGUGACAGGAACUAGGAAAGGAAGGGAUGAUCUAUCAGUCUUUCUUUCCAUAAAGAUAGAACUCGGAUUUUAUUAUUAUUAUUAUUAUUAUUAUUAUUAUUAUUAUUAUUAUUAUUAAUUAUUACUGAGGAGGAAACCUAGCACUGGCAGAGGUGUCUCUGCUUCUGUCUGCAGGUUUGACUCCUGGCACUGGCUACGAUACUUGGAAUUUUGAGGUCCAGGGAAUUCAGACUUUGGUAGCCCAUGUAUCAGGAGAAAGG
rnacentral:lncRNA from 1 species